rnacentral:rRNA from 1 species
UUAGUUUGACUGGGGCGGUCGCCUCCCAAAAGGUAACGGAGGCGCUCAAAGGUUCCCUCAGAAUGGUUGGAAAUCAUUCAUAGAGUGUAAAGGUAUAAGGGAGCUUGACUGCGAGACCUACAAGUCGAGCAGGGUCGAAAGACGGACUUAGUGAUCCGGUGGUUCCGCAUGGAAGGGCCAUCGCUCAACGGAUAAAAGCUACCCCGGGGAUAACAGGCUUAUCUCCCCCAAGAGUUCACAUCGACGGGGAGGUUUGGCACCUCGAUGUCGGCUCAUCGCAUCCUGGGGCUGUAGUCGGUCCCAAGGGUUGGGCUGUUCGCCCAUUAAAGCGGUACGCGAGCUGGGUUCAGAACGUCGUGAGACAGUUCGGUCCCUAUCCGUCGUGGGCGUAGGAAAUUUGAGAGGAGCUGUCCUUAGUA